AGCAUGUUAGCUCAGGGGAAGAGCGCCGGGCUCAUAACCCGGAGGUACGAUUUCACCUCACCAACCAAUCAUAGUCCAAUACUAACAAACAAUAGGUCCCUGGAUCGAAACCAGGACAUGCUA
rnacentral:tRNA from 1 species